AGCAAAUGCAACGGUCUAUUGCAACGGUUAAGGUUAUUGCAAUGGUUUAAUGCAACAGUCAAAGCUAAAGCAACGCUUUUUGCAACGGAUGAGGAUAUUGCAACGGUCUAUUGCAAUGGUCUUGGGUAAUGCAACGGCAUAGUACAACGAUAUGAAGUAACUGUUGCAUUAGACUGUGAAAUGCCACGUUCUUUGAAGCUUUUGCAACGAUGAUGUUUAUUUUUUUUUAUUUUUUUUGAGAAGAUGUUUAAUUAGAAGUUGUAUUCGGUGGGAAAGUAUAUUCAGCACGCGUCUAUUUUCCCUUUUCUUUUUUUACUCUUGAAAAUUUUGAAACCCUCGUUAGAUCCGCCCAAAAAUCAGAAAAAAAAACCCUCAAAAACCCUCGCUUCUCUGCUUCUUCUUCCAAGUAUGUCUUCCGCUUUUCUGAUUCAAUCCUUUUGCUUUGCUCCCUCUCUGCGCCGCCUUCUUGUCAACCAGGGACACCACCGCGGCACCGCGUCAACACCAUCAACAACAUCACCACCAGCCACAAGUCCUUCAUGAACCAAAUUAAUUACACGAGAAGGAAUGGCAAUAAUAAGGAAUCAAACUUUUGGGUGGUGGAUCUCAUAAACUAGUGCUACACAACCACUACAUAAUUAGAAUUAUUAAGCUUUUGUUAUGUCUUUUAGGUUUUGUACAAGUAUUACUUCAUUUUGUAAAUAGUCAAUAAACGAUGUGACGAUAAUAUGUAUAUAUUUAUGGAUAUUUUUAAUAAAAAUGAAAUGCUUAUCAUC